rnacentral:rRNA from 1 species
UGGCUCAGAUUGAACGCUGGCGGCAUGCCUAACACAUGCAAGUCGAACGGUAACGCGGAGAGCUUGCUCUCUGGCGACGAGUGGCGGACGGGUGAGUAAUACUUAGGAAUCUGCCCAGUAGUGGGGGACAACUCGAGGAAACUCGAGCUAAUACCGCAUACGCCCUACGGGGGAAAGCGGGGGAUCUUCGGACCUCGCGCUAUUGGAUGAGCCUAAGUCGGAUUAGCUUGUAGGUAGGGUAACGGCCUACCUAGGCGACGAUCCGUAGCUGGUCUGAGAGGACGAUCAGCCACAUUGGGACUGAGACACGGCCCAGACUCCUACGGGAGGCAGCAGUGGAGAAUCUUGGGCAAUGGGGGAAACCCUGACCCAGCGACGCCGCGUGGAGGAUGACGGCCUUCGGGUUGUAAACUCCUGUCAGGUGGGAAGAAAAGCUAUCCGGAUAAUACCCGGAUGGAAUUGACUGUACCACCAAAGGAAGCCCCGGCUAACUCCGUGCCAGCAGCCGCGGUAAUACGGAGGGGGCAAGCGUUAUUCGGAUUUACUGGGCGUAAAGCGCACGUAGGUGGCAAGUUAAGUCAAAGGUGAAAGCCCUCGACUCAACCGAGGAACUGCCUUUGAAACUGAUUUGCUUGAGUCCGGGAGGGGGGAGCGGAAUUCCCAGUGUAGCGGUGAAAUGCGUAGAUACUGNGAGGAACACCGGUGGCAAAGGCGGCUCCCUGGACCGGUACUGACACUGAGGUGCGAAAGCGUGGGUAGCAAAC